CAUUAACUCACCAGUGCCAAACAGAACCUCACAGGCACAGAAACUCCAGGCAGGAAGUGAGAAGUUCACCAUCCUAGCCUAAGGGUGCUGUCAGGUGAAGACUGCAAACGGCUGUACGAAGCCUGAGUGAGAUGAGCCGGCUGCCAAUGCUCUGGCUGCAAUGCCAGAGGAGGCCAGCGGGCUGGGAAGUCCCGUGUAAGAGGAUGUGUUCAAUACAACUCACACCCACCGCCUGCCAAAUCCUGUUUUACAACCAUACUGCAUCCAUCUCCUCGUCUCCAUUUUCACAGCCACUUCUCUGGGCGCUCAUUGCCUCUUGCAACAACAAACUGAAAUGCCAUGGCUGGACCCAGUGUGUUCAGAAGCUCUUUGGAAAGGAUGCCCAUGGCAUCCCAACCCAGACAUCCUGUGCUGGCACCCUUGACUCCACCCCCUAGCGUUAGAAGGAAAUUGCACCUCUAAGAGACUGGGUGCUGGCGUUGCCAGAAAUGACUUCCUCACCUCCUCUCUGCGCCCGCUCUGGGAGAACACAACUGUGAUAUGCAGUCCUCUGAGCAACCUUCUCACCAACCGCGGGGAUCCAUCCUGCCCGCUUCCCAGGUGGCUCCCACACCUCCCUCAUCGCUAUUUGCCUUUGCACACCUUCGCUCUUCACCAAGCGCUUUAUCCAGGUCACUGAAAGGCAUUUCUCACUAAGAACAUGGAUCUUUAUUUAACUACACACGGGUCAUAGAGGGAAAGAGAAAAGAAAGCAUACAACAAUAUGGAAAUCAACAACACGAAGCAAGAAAGAUCUCUUUGUAUCAUCGCAAAACCAUUUUGCCAUUAGGAAGCUAUUUUAUUUCAUUUUUGGCUUUCUUUCCAUUUUGCUUGUAUAUGUUCAAAAUACAUUCCAUUGUGUUACACGA